rfam:Daphnia pulex DAPPTscaffold_1161_Cont12077, whole genome shotgun sequence.
GUCAGGAUGGCCGAGCGGUCUAAGGCGCAAGACUCAGGGACAUAUUCCUAACUUCAAUAAGAGAAGUUGCAGUAUUCUGGUCUUCAAUGAAGGCGUGGGUUCAAAUCCCACUCCUGACA